rnacentral:rRNA from 1 species
UACGUAGGGGGCAAGCGUUGUCCGGAAUCAUUGGGCGUAAAGAGCGUGUAGGCGGCCAGAAAAGUCCGCUGUGAAAACUCGAGGCUCAACUUCGAGCUGUCGGUGGAAACUUUCUGGCUAGAGUCCGGAAGAGGAGAAUGGAAUUCCUGGUGUAGCGGUGAAAUGCGCAGAUAUCAGGAAAAACACCCGUGGCGAAGGCGGUUCUCUGGGACGGUACUGACGCUGAGACGCGAAAGCGUGGGGAGCGAACAGG